AUCGCUUCUCGGCCUUUUGGCUAAGAUCAAGUGUAGUAAAAAAGAAUUUUCCAAAGGUAUUUGUUAAGAAAUGGAGGCACUGAGUAUUGGUCCCUUAUUUGUAGUCUAUCAGGCAUUGUACAUCAGAGAUGAAAGAAAUUAU
rnacentral:snRNA from 1 species